UGUGGCUGGCUGCACACAGACUUCUCUCAGAGGAAGGUCUGCUGGGAAGCAGUGGGCUCCAGAAUGCAAGCGAUUUCCUGGCAGCAGUCUUCUUUGCCCUGCCAAUGCCUGAUGCUCACACCUAACUCAGCCAUCAAGCUGUUUGGAAGCCGAAGCAGCCCCGCAGAGAAGUCCAUUUAAAGAGGAGCUGAUGGACAGUGCUAACUAGCCAGCACUGUGCAUGCACCAUGUGGAAGUUGAGCCACAUUCCAGUUAAGUUCAUUUGCUGAUCCUGAGUGCAGGGAAAUGAACCAACCACACAGACUCUGUGUGCACUGCAGACUCAUGAGCAAACUAGAAGAUCAUUGUCAUUUUAAACCAUAGUUUUGGGACAGCUUGUUAUCUAUAACAGUAACUCGAACAAUAUUAUUUUUUAUUAAUUUCCUAAAAGAGAAUUUUCCUUCUGUCAUAUCACAUUUAAUUCUCAUGAACAACAUCAUGAGGAAUACUAGACAUGCUAGGAAAUGCUGUUACUUCUUACCAAAUUUCUGUGAUUAUUCUGGGUAUCUGGAGAAGAUGGUCAAAUGCCGCCAUGAGUUGAGAUUAUGAAAUAUGGAUAUUCAAGGAACAGAGUUUAUUUGGAACAUGACUCAACCAACAUUCUUUGGGAAAUGAGUGAUUCUGGGGCUUGAAAGGCUUCUUGAAGCUUCUGAACAAGGUUUCCCAAUAGGUCAGAAUCCAGUGUCAUUAUUUCUUUUUCUUGUUCCUUGAUUUCUGCCAUGGGGAUGAGAGAUGUGUGCAAGGAGAGACAGAUACCUUUCCUCCAUCUUUCAUGAGUUCUCAGUUGGGACUUUCUGUGACAAGAAGCAGAUUAAUAAGAGAAAAGUACUUAUAAGUAUGAUCUCAAGUUGCCUCCAUUUGCCUAUAAAAACCUCAAGAUUAUCCUUUUUAUAGCUGAGUAAUAUUCCGUUGUAUAAAAAUACCACAUCUUUUUCAUCCAUUCUGCAGUUGACAGGCGUUUGAGUUGUUUCUAAGAUUUAGCUAUUACAAAUUGUGCUGCUAUAAACAUGGCAUAUAUAUCACUGUGGCAUGACAUUUCCAAUUUUUCUGGGAAAAUACUCAGAAGAGAAAUAGCUGGAUUGAAUGGGAUUUCCAAUCCUAGUUUUUUAAGGAAUCUCUACACUGAUUUCCACAGUGGUCACACCUGUCUGCACUCUCACCAGCAGUAGAGUCUCCCUAGUGUAAAAAUAAUAAUAAAAACAAAAGGCUGAAAGAGUAGUAAGAUCCAAACUAUAAAAUAGGUAUUAUGAUAAUGAAAGGGAAAUAAUGUGCUCAAAAGGAAAGAACAACUGGGAUGGGGGAAAGGAGAAAA